UUCCGGUUGAUCCUGCCGGACCUGACUGCUAUCGGAUUGAUACUAAGCCAUGCUAGUCUUUGCAGUAAUGCAAGGCAUACGGCUCAGUAACACGUAGUCAACUUACCCUAUGGACGAGGAUAAUCUCGGGAAACUGAGCAUAAUACUCGAUAGAUCAUAAUGCCUGGAAUGGUUUAUGGUUAAAAUGAUUCGUCGCCAUAGGAUGGGACUGCGGCCUAUCAGCUUGUUGGUGAGGUAAUGGCCCACCAAGGCGAUUACAGGUACGGGCUCUGAGAGGAGAAGCCCGGAGAUGGGUACUGAGACAAGGACCCAGGCCCUAUGGGGCGCAGCAGGCGAGAAAACUUUGCAAUGUGCGAAAGCACGACAAGGUUAAUCCGAGUGAUUUCUGCUAAAGAAAUCUUUUGCAAGUCAUAAAACCACUAGUGAAUAAGGGGUGGGCAAGUUCUGGUGUCAGCCGCCGCGGUAAAACCAGCACCUCAAGUGGUCAGGAGGAUUAUUGGGCCUAAAGCAUCCGUAGCCGGCUCUGUAAGUUUUCGGUUAAAUCCAUGUGCUCAACGCAUGGGCUGCCGAAAAUACUGCAUAGCUAGGGAGUGGGAGAGGUAGACGGUACUCGGUAGGAAGGGGUAAAAUCCUUUGAUCUAUCGAUGACCACCUGUGGCGAAGGCGGUCUACCAGAACACGUUCGACGGUGAGGGAUGAAAGCUGGGGGAGCAAACCGGAUUAGAUACCCGGGUAGUCCCAGCUGUAAACGAUGCAGACUCGAUGAUGCAUUGGCAUAUAGCCAGUGCAGUGUCGCAGGGAAGCCGUUAAGUCUGCCGCCUGGGAAGUACGUACGCAAGUAUGAAACUUAAAGGAAUUGGCGGGGGAGCACCACAAGGGGUGAAGCCUGCGGUUCAAUUGGAGUCAACGCCGG
rnacentral:rRNA from 1 species